rnacentral:lncRNA from 1 species
GUCUCUCCCGGAAGCUGCGCUUGCUGUCUGGGUAACGGGGUCUGCAGCGGAGCCGCGAUGGAUGUGGAGGAGGUGAAAGCGUUCAGAGACCGCUGUUCUCAGUGUGCUGCUGUCUCCUGGGGCCUUACCAAAGAAGGCAAAUAUUACUGUACUUCCUGACACAGAUCGAUCUGAGGAAGUGGUGAGCGCUGCAGAUAUCCCCAACACCAAGAUCAACUCCAUCAACAGGGGGCUGAGACAGAGAAGCAAGCAUGGUGAGCACAGAUGCCCCACGGUGGCGAGGCUCCCUCACACUUCCUUUCAUGAUGUGAGGGCACAGAGUGAAUUUAAAUAAAUUCCAGAUAAAAUGACAGAAAAUCCAA